GGUGCAGGACACCAGAGUUUCUACAUACAUUCUCCCGUAGAGUUUUGUGCCUCUUUAAAGGAAGACAUUUACCUUUUUCCUGGUGAAUUUAACACAAUUUUCUUGGUGAAAGAAAGAUUUAGGAAGUAUACAGU